UACGUAGGCAGCAAGCGUUGUUCGGAGUUACUGGGCGUAAAGAGUGCGUAGGUGGUGCCCUAAGUCUGUUGUGAAAUCUCCCGGCUUAACUGGGAGGGUGCGGUGGAAACUGGGGUGCUUGAGUGUGGGAGAGGUAAGCGGAAUUCCUGGUGUAGCGGUGAAAUGCGUAGAUAUCAGGAGGAACCCCAGAGGCGAAGGCGGCGCCCUGGCUCGCACCUGACGCUCAGACACGACAGCAUGGGGAGCGAACGGG
rnacentral:rRNA from 1 species